rnacentral:rRNA from 1 species
CUCUGAGACAGGUGCUGCAUGGCUGUCGUCAGCUCGUGUUGUGAAAUGUUGGGUUAAGUCCCGCAACGAGCGCAACCCUUAUCCUUUGUUGCCAGCACUUCGGGUGGGAACUCAAGGGAGACUGCCGGUGAUAUACCGGAGGAAGGUGGGGAUGACGUCAAGUCAUCAUGGCCCUUACGAGCAGGGCUACACACGUGCUACAAUGGCGUAUACAAAGAGAAGCGACCUCGCGAGAGCAAGCGGACCUCAUAAAGUACGUCGUAGUCCGGAUUGGAGUCUGCAACUCGACUCCAUGAAGUCGGAAUCGCUAGUAAUC